AGCAUAGUUUCCUAUACAACUCUUUAACUAAAUUUCUCUUUAAGCAUUUUCUUUCUAUUCCUAUUAUGGCCACUGUUGAGGUAACUAUAUUUCCUUUAAUUAUAUGUGCUGUUUUCAGUAGGUGCCAACCUAGCCACGCAAAAAUCCGAAAAAAAUGGAGCGGGCCAGGAUGGACAUUUUUUAAGGCGCUGACGGAUCCGUGGACAUUACAUAUUUAAAGUUUAAAAAUUGCAAAAAUUUAUAUUAAUAUUGGCAUGACGGAUAAGGGCGGGAUGAACAUAUUAGAACGUCCAGGUCUAAAACCUUGGCCCGCUCCGAAAAGAUGCGCGUUAAACAGGCUCGGUAGAGCGGGCCCCCUAGUUUUCAUUUUGAUUUUUAACAACUGCUUAAGCAAUUUGUGUUCAUAUUUUGAUCUUUGUAGGUUGUAUCUACAAAGACUGCACUCUCGGACGACACCACCGGGUUAUUAUUGAAAUCUGAUGAGAAAACCACUGAAGAAGUUCUUGAGAGUCCAAUUGCACCAGCAGCAUCAGAAGCAAAAGAAGAAAAAGAAGAAGAAGCUGUAGUAGAAUCUUCAGUUGCAGAAGCAAAAGUACCUUUGAUUGAAUCUGAAACUAAAGAGGUGGUAGAAGAAACUGUGACUGUGAAAGACACCGAGGAGGAAACAAAGAAGGAAGAAGAAACUGAGAAAGAGGAACCUGUUGAGGAGACAAAAGAAAAUGCUGAUUCUGUUGUUGAUGUUAUUCAGGAACCACCAACUGCAGAAUCUGAGACAGUAAAAAAUGUUGUUAAGGAUGAGAAUGUGAUAGAUGAGCCUGAAACUAAGGACAAUGUUAACACAGAAGAAGCACCAAAGGAGAAAGCCGAGGAGAACGUUGAGAAAGAAGAAGCCAUAGAUGAGAAGAAAGAGGAGGAAGUGAUCACCAAAUCUGAGGCAGAAAUAGAGAAGAGUGAGUAAGGAAAAAUGUGAAGUAUAUGAAAACUGUUUAAGUUUCAUGUGUUGUUGUUGAAUGUGUUUUUGCUGUUACUUGUUUGUUAGUGGUGUAAUAAAAUAGCUAUAGUAUUACUACUAGUAGCUAAAUCUAAAUGCAUGUUGCUGUGUGUGUGAUUCUGCAUAAUUGUUUUGUAUGUUAAUCUGUUCAAAUAAAUAUUUAGAUUAUUUGUAUUUCUUUGAGCAAUGAUUUGUAUACUACAUAAAUUCCCUAAAGAUGUAAAGAAGAUAAAUAUGUCAUCACCAAAUGCAAUUAUUUCUUUCUUCUGCACUUGUUUUAUCAAUAGCAUAUUUCUACUUAUUUCUCCACCAAAUCAAAAUUUAAGACCUUAAUAACACAAUUGUCAGGAGUGUCAUUCUGCCAAGCACAUCACGCAUUGAUGUAUAAGUUGCGAGCAUUUUGCUUUAUGAUUUAGCACCCGACGAAGAUGCUGAGGCCGUUCCUAUGGACGCCGAGGCGGGUGGUGAGGCCGAUGACGAGUUAGAUCGAAGAUAACGACACUUUCGGGCACUUACACACCAUACCCGCACCCCAUCUCUCGGCCAUCUCACUUCCUCCUAUGCAUUAUUCACCUGCACCCACCACACAAUAUUAUACUGACACUUUUGCAGGUUCAUCAUCAUGGCACCAGUUGGCUACAUGAUAUGAUUAUAAUGCCUUUAGGAAUGAGAUCGUGGACUUGAGAUACGAGGUCGAGGCAAAGAACGAUGUUGAUUCGGAGCGUGAUCAUCUAUUUUAUGUCAUGCAUCAGCAACAAACCAAUAUGAUGGAUAACUUGCGGACUAUUCAGGCUACAAAGGUUUAGAGUCAGAAUAUGAUACAGACCAUGACCGACCAGAUGCAUAGUAUGAUCCGAGAAAUGGAUGAUAGGGAACACAUAGCUUUUUAGCGAUAGCAGGUGUAUGAUGAGAUGUUGGGCGCUAUUCUUUAUUAUCUGCAGAGUAUGGGUAUCCAUCGCCUCCUGCGCAGGGUCCUCACCAAAGACGAGGCCGAGGUCGAUGACGAUACUGAUUUUCCUCCUGACCAGGUUCUACCUCCCUCUCUUUCUCUUAUUUGCUUACAUGGAGGACAAUGUAAGAUUUAAGUAUGGGGGCAUUUACCGCUUUCAUUUACAUUUACCAUUUUUCAUUAUUAUUGCUAUCUUGUUUUAUUAUGCUUCCUUAGUUUAAUUCUAUGUUAUUGCUUUUUUUCUUUUGUAGGGAAGUGUAUUGAGUCUUUUGCAUGUGAUAUCGAGUCUUUUAUGCGUGGUUUUCUACUUGUUAUUGGAUUCUCUGAUUACUUGAUCCAUUCUGAAAAUUUUUGAAAAUUUUGAAAAGGCUUAGGAAGCUUAGCUUGAUUUGAAAGUAUAUAGCCUUAAAAAGAAGUGAGGUGAGGUUGAGGAGACUUGGGAAAAUCCGACAAAAUCGGUAUUGUCCUAACACCUCAAGCUUCCCAAAUAUGUAUGUUAGUUUAAAUUUCCAUUGAGCCUUAGUCUUGAACUCGUAUUUGGUGGUAAUCCUCGAGUAGUUUUUAUAUCCGGUCAGACACCAUCUAUAAGAACACAUUUGAGUGGGUUGGUUGACGAAUAAUAAGUGAAUAAUCGAUUUCUAAUAAUAAAAAAAAUGAAUAAAAAGGGAAUACUACAUUUACUAAGAUAUGUGACUCUCACCCGGUCAUUUAGCCCAAAGAAGUGGUUGAGCCUUCAAAAGAAAAAAUACAUCUUUAAAAAAGAAAGAAAAUUUGUGGAAAUCUAAUGAGAUGUUUUGAUCAUAAUCACUAACAGACCGUCUGCCAUGUGUGUAAGAUAAAGGGGCUUAAUGUGACUGUCCCGAACGAAAGAGGAGGCAACAAGUAGGAACCUCAGAAUUUGAUAUAAAACGGAACGGUUCGAAUUAGUAUGCAUAGGAGGGAGACUUGUGACUGUGAGAGUGGUUUGUGUUGUCACAAUAUCAUUAGUGUCGACAUUAGUACCUAUCGAGUCAAUUUUAGUUGAACGUAUUUUUAUAGCCACGUAUGAGUAAAUUCAAUGCUUUAUUUUCCUUUUGUCUUUAUACUAUACUGAUGCAUUUCAUUGAUUAAUAUGUUGGCUGACUCGCUUGAGUAGAAGAAAGGGUUCAAGUGGAGGGGAGUUUGAUAACUCGAAAAAAGUAUCGUGAUUUUGAAUUGAUUCACAUGCCAUUUUGAGUAUUUUGGUUGUAAGAGUGUCUGUGCGAGAAAACGAUGCGAAAUAGCAAAAACGGGAGCAAAAUGCAAUUCUGCAUUGUCAUGAUACCCACCUUGCCAACAUGAUGCUCAUCAUGACGUGGCGCCUUGAAGACCAUCAGCACUAAAAGAUAAAAUCAGAAGAAUUUGACUGCUAGCAGGAUGACGGGUAGGUCGUCAAUCAGAUGACGUCCGUCAUCCUUCCAUGACGCCCAAGACGUCAAGACCACGACUCCCGCAAAUCGCCAUGGUGUUGCCGUUCAUAAAUUUUUGGCACAUUUUCAAUUUUAGCUCUAUAAAUAGGUCCAUAAAUUCAAUUUUCACAUCCAUGUUUUUUAGAAUUUAUUUUAGGCAAAAAUUUCUUUUUAUUAAAGAGGUUAUUUUCUCAAACUGAGAGAUAUAUGCACUUUAGGUUAAGAUUCUCCAAAUAUCUAGAUUGUUUUUGGAUCAUUCAAGUUGUAAUCUUGUUCACAUUAACUUUCCAAAAAAAUUAUUCAGAAUUUAUUUUGUAUUAGAAUUGGAGCUUUUUUUAUUCUUUACGUAAUUGUUCAAUGCAUACCAGGUUCUUCUUUUACUGCUUUUAUUAAUUUAAUUUUCAGUAUAGUAUUUGUUAAUAUGUUUAGUUUUAAUUUUCAAUAUAGUAUUUAUUAUGUUUCAAUUAUGCCCGACUAAAUUUUUAGAGUUCAGAAUGCGAGGACCUUUGUCCUGACAAAGAAAUCUCCUUAUACUCCAAAACAAAUCUCACUAUACCCUCUUAUGUUUCAAACUACCACACAUUAAUACCCCCUAUUAUUUGUUAUGUUUCAAUUAUGUUUCAAACUACCACACUAAUACUCCAAAACAAAUCUCCUUAUACCCUCUUAUGUGACAAAGAACCCGACUUAAAGUUUUUUUUUAUGCUUGGUACAUGCAUCAACCUUUCAAUUACACAUAUCAAAAUUAGAAGUCAGGGCUAGAAAAUAUGCUUUCUUAGGAUACAUCCUUUCAUGAGCAUAUAAUUCCCUAUCUAGCACUUAGUACAUCUCUAACCAACAAUUGGAGCUUAUAUCCAACACAUGACUUAUCUCAACCUAUCAAACAAAUUACCACACCUGCCCAAAUACCACAAAACACCAUACCUGAAUCACAUCACAAUACUUCUCAAUCCAUAUCGUCACCAAAUCCCAAAAUUAAUCUUAAGCAUGUAUUGUUGAUGAUAGUGAUCACACAUUUUUAACUACCGAGACAUCUGUACUUCGACACAUACUCACAUGCGAUAAAAAUGAUUAAUUAAUUUAUUUAUUUAAAUAAAAAACAAAGAAAGAAAACUAAUAAAAUGUGUAAAGUGAUAACGAAGUGUAAAACAAGUGGGAGAAAAAUUAAGGUUCCAUUCUAUAUAUUUUAAAUGAAUAUACAUCAUUCAAUUUCAACCACUAGUUUCUUUUCAAAAAACCCGGAUUGGAUAAAUUGGAGCAAUUCUCACUAUAGAAAGAACUAGUUAUUGUGAGUGACAGAAAAAUGGCAUCACUGCUAUCAAACACAAGAAUAAUAAGUGCAAGAAAUGAAGUGUAUGUGGCAGCAAUGCCUCUAAGGGCUACAAAGGGUCCACCCCAAUUGCUUAUGUCUGCUGCCUAUUCCCUUAAUUUAUGGGAUUUUCAGCAUCUCAUGGUUAUCCUCAAACCUUCAUCCUCUUCACAGGUUCUGGUUUUUGAUUUUCAACCAAAAGAUCCUGAAAAUAUAUAUGUAGCCCUAUCAGCUUUAUUUGGAAGAGCUGUGCCAGGUGAGUGAGAUUUGGAAUUUAUUUAUGAUUCCUUCCAUAAAUGUUUUCACUUUCUAUAUUUAAAUCUCCAUUUCUGUUCAUAUUCUCAGGAGCUGUUCUUGUGAGGAAAUUAAACAAGCUGCCGCGAAGCAAAUGCUGGUUGGUUGGAUAUGCAGAAACAGAUGCUGUGGAAAUAGCAAAUGAAUUCAACAGAAAAUAUGAAACAGAUUUGAGAAUCGGUCUUAAUGAUUGUCGCGAUUAUACAAAUGGUAAUAAGUUAUUUAAAUAAUGAACCUUAUGCAGCAUUCAUGUGUGUUUAUGUGUUAUCCCUUAUCACUGUAUCAAUUACUCAUGCAAUAUUGCAUUAUGAAGGUUUGAUCGGGGAACUCACCGGCGAAAAAGAUGUGCUCAAACGUUUGAGAAGCCUUGGUGGAUAGAAGUACUAUGGUGCUAAUUCAUAGGGACACAAAUGGUUGGAUGAACAUCUUCUGUAUUGAAGAAUGAAAUGAGUCAAUAAAAGUUAGUUAGCAUGGUUUGGUUAGUUACAAAUUCUGUUACAGUCAGGAAGUAAAGUAGUUAUGACAGUUAUUUGGCCUUAAAGUUGCAAUCACAUAGUGCAUACUUACAGUAUAAGUGAUAGGGGUUAGGGAACUCAAUUCUCAUAGACCAUUACCUAUGUGCACAUGAAUUCAACAAUGUAGAUGUGCUUCUCAAUAACUUGCUCAAUAUUACAGACUUGAAUUGAAUGAUACUUUCUCUGAUGUGAAGACUCAUGUAUUUCUCAUGGAUCCUCUAACUUUGAUUAACCACAUUCAUUCUUUUGUUAUUCAAGAAGAAAGCAACCGCAAAAAUAUGAUUAAAAUUGAAGACAAUUCUAUUUUGGUUAAUGUUACACAAAGACCUGAUUUCAAUCACAGAAAACUUUCAUAAGAAUUCAAAUAGGGUAUGCACUUUCUUUCAUAAUAAUAGUCAUACCAUUGAUUUCUGCUAUCAAAAAUAUAGACAACAGGAACAAACCUUAUGUGAAUAUGACUCAUAUGGAUAACAUUGAAGCUCGUCAACAAGUUGAUGGAAUUGAGGUGGCUUCUUCUGUAAAGCAUCAAUAUUCCUAUUUCUCAAGCUUAAUAUGAUCAACUUGUGAACUUGCUCAAACAAGAAAACUUAACAAACUCAGAACAGACUUCAUCCCCAAACCAAAUUUCAACAAGUCAUUCACUUAUAGAAUCCACAUCAAGUAUAUUUUGUAAUAGCCUUACUAAACCUGCUAGACAAAAUAAUUAUUGGAUCUCGGACAUUGAAGCCAACGAUCAUAUGUGUGUUCAUCUUUGCCUUUAUUUAGUUCCUACUACAAAAUUAAACUUGUAUAGGUAAGUCUCUAAUGAAAAUUUUGUUCUUCUCAAAUAUGGUGGUAACAUCAAUUUCUCGAAGAGUAUGAUUGGUUUCUUAAUUAACAAGAAAAUCAUAAAGUAAAAGAAAAGAGAGAAGAAGAAGAUAAAGACAAUUUAUAGUGGUAUAAAAACUGGAUUCUUAAUUCAAUUAUACAUUAGGGAAUAAUAUUUAUAAUUGAAUCUCAACCACACUACUUUCUCCCUCUAAUUAGAAUUAUAGGGAUUGAUGGAAGAACUGAUCACUAGUAUGUUAUUUAUAAGAAAAUUAAACUCUAACUUUCAACUAACAUAAUUGGUCCAACAGACCGACCCAAUUCAACAUGUUAACUUAAACAACAAGCUAACAUAUUUCGACAGAUACUGUUGAAAAAUAUAUUAUUUUCGAUUUUAUUAUUGGCUCUAAUAUUACCUUUAUUUUUCUUUAUUCUCCAUUAAGGAGAAAAUAAAUUGUAAUAAUUGUAUCCUCACUAUAUAAACCAGCCUAAGGCUAACGAAUAAAAUAUAACAACUUUUACCUAUUUUUUCCAAUAGGGUAUCAAGACCACUGGGUUAGGGGUUACCGUAAAGUUUUCCUCAACCUAUUGUUAUUGAGUUAAGAGCACUGGGUUAUGGGUUACCGUAAAACUUUCUUCAACCUAUUUUUGUUGGAUUAGGGAUUACCAUAAAACUUUCCUCGGCAUAUUUUUGUUCGACUCGCUUUCUUACCCGACCCGAUUCACAUACCCGUUUAGCCUUCUAUGGAGAAUAACAAAAACAGGUGAUCUUCCCCCAUCACAUGUCCACACUGGAUCCAACCAUGACGAACAACUGCAGCAUGAGUCAAGUGUCUUCCGCGGAAACGGCCUACGAACUAGGAACCUUGACGAGGGAAGAAGAUCAGACAAAGUUCCUUGGUGUGAUCACUGCAAACACGAAUGACAUACAUGUGAAACUUGUUGAAAGCUCAAAGACAAACCUCCUAACUGGAAGAAGAAAAGUGGUCGUGCAUUUCAGGCUAGUAAUUCUGAUCAAGGGCAGCAACCUCUUCCGUCUCAGUUUUCAUUCACUACGGAGCACCUAGACAGACUGUACAAAUUCCUCGAGUCUCCAGCCCAUUCUUGCUCUAUAGCAACAAAAGGUAAUUCUAUAUUUCUUAGUGUCAGUCUCAGUCAUACUUGCAUAGUAGAUUCAGGUGCCUCCGAUCACAUGACAUAUGAAUCUACUUUGUUCUCUUCAUAUAGUCCAUGUGCAGGUAAUCAAAAAAUAAAAAUCGCAGAUGGCUCUUUUUCAGUCAUUGCAGGUAAAGGGUCGGUUGUGUUUUCUCCAAUGUUAACUCUUAAAAAUGUCCUUCAUGUUCCAAAUUUAUCUUGUAAUUUAAUAUCCGUCAGUAAAUUAGCCCAAGAUAUAAAUUGUCAAACUAUUUUUUUCCGAUCUCACUGUGUAUUUCAGGAUUUGAACUCGGGGAAGAUGAUUGGCAGUGCUAAGGAGAAUUGAGGACUCUACUACCUUGACAUUGGAUUUGCAUCACAACUACCAUAAAAAACAAUAAGUUCCUGUUUUGUGUUUUUUUUCUGUUUUGAAUAAUAAAGAUAACAACAAUAUGAUAUGGCAUUUAAGCAUGGACGGAGGUAGUAAGAAGAAAGGGUGGGCUCAUGCCCCCACCACGUUCAUCAUUGAUUAAUAUUUAAUAAUAUAAUUAAUAUAUUAAUAUAUUUAAUAUACUAAAAAUUAGGAAGAAAAGUUAAUAAUUUCCCCACUUGAUAAAAUGAUACGGAGUAUCACACACAUCCAUCUGCAUUUAAAAUAAAAUUAAUUCUUUAAAUAAAAUUAAAAAAAUUUAUUUCUUUUCAUGUUCCUAUUAAUUCUCUUUUACUGUUUCCAAAUAGAAACAAACUGAUGGGAAAUUCAACAACAAAUAACAAUAACAACUCUAACAGAGCAAUAUGCAGCGGAUAAUCAAUUUCCCAAACUUGCAAGAAUCUGUGAGGAGCAACAACAAAUAAUCACGGCAACUAAAAUCAAGAGCAAUAUGCAGCGGAUAAUCAAUUUCCCAAACUUGCAAGAAUCUGUGAGGAGCAACAACAAAUAAUCACGGCAACUAAAAUCACCACCACAAGGGACACAAUAAUUUUUAACGUGGAAAAAUCUUCUCAAUGUGAGAAGUAAACAACCACGGGACCAAGCUAGUAAUAGAGCUCCACUAUGAUCAAAAUAUGGGUACAAGAGAGUUUUAAAUAUGGCACAAAUUCGUGCUCAAUAACCAACCAAAAACAGCAAGGUAACCAGUAUAACAAUCAGCCAAAACAAUGAGAAAACAAGCAUGAAAUUGAGAACAAAGUUCAGCAGAAAAACCAAAAAAUACUGCUACUGUCCGAGCUCGAUUUCUCCCACCUCAGACCUCUGAUCGAUGAUCCAACCGGUCAGAUUGAAGUACCAUGAGUCACGAACCUGCUGUCCAAAUUUCAUCCCGAUUCGACGGUGAAUGAAGGAGAAAUCGCGAAUCUAGUGCAGCUGCUCUGUUUUAUGCGAAAAUGGGUUUUGCUCUUCCUCUCUCACUUUUCUCUUGCCUCACUCUUUCAAUUCAGCUCUCUCACUCUCACUAAUCUGACCUCUCUCCACUUGGUUAAGUGAGACACAUGGGCUUGUACAUAUUGGGUCUUUCUCCACAUAGGAAGGGAGCCUAAAACCCAACAUAUCUCCCCCUCACAACUAUGUGGAGGUGACCGCCAAACCGGCGAUCUCACAGCAAGUUUCAAACUUGUUUCUCGGUAAUGCCUUGGUCAUCAUAUCAGCAUCAUUAUCAUCUGUAUGAACCUUGGCCAAUUCCAACAACCCAACAUCCAAAGCAUCACGUAUCCAAUGAUACCUAACAUCAAUGUGCUUGGACCUAGAAUGAAAAGUUGAAUUCUUACCAAGAUGAAUUGCACCUUGACUAUCACAAAAUAGCAAGUACUUAUCUUGAACAAAACCAAGCUCCUACAAGAAUUUCUUCAACCAUAACAAUUCCUUGCGUGCUUCUGUAAUGGCAAUGAACUCUGCCUCAGUAGUGGACAAUGCAACACACAUCUGCAAUCUGGAUUGCCAUGCCACAGCUCCCCCUGCAAACUUAAUCAAGUAGCCUGAAGUAGACUUUCUGGAAUCAAUGUCUCCAGUCAUAUCAGAAUCAGUAUAUCCCACAAGAGUAGGCUUAUCACCUCCAAAACAAAGCCUCAAACUGGUAGUAUCACGAAGAUACCUCAAAAUCCAUUUCACAGCAUUCCAAUGCUCUUUACCUGGAUUAGACAGAAAUCUACUAACUGUACCAACAACAUGUGCAAUAUCAAGCCUUGUACACACCAUUGCAUACAUUAAACUACCCACAACAGAUGCAUAAGGAACUCGUUGCAUAUUUGAUUUUUCAGCUUCAUUGGAAGGACUCUGACUAAUACUCAAUUUAAAAUGAGUAGCAAGAGGAGUACUUACAGCCUUAGCAUUUUCCAUCUGGAACCUCUGUAACACUCUUUCAACAUAGUGUUCUUGUGACAACCAAAGUUUCUUCUUGUUCCUGUCACGCAUGAUUCUUAUACCAAGAAUCUGCUUAGCAGCUCUCAUGUCUUUCAUGGCAAAUGACUCGCCAAUUGCUUCUUCAACCUGUCAAUCAUGGAAAUAUUUUUCCCAACAAUAAGCAUGUCAUCAACAUACAAUAACAGGAUAAUGAAAUCAUCAUCAGCAAACUUUUUAACAAAGCACAUUAUCAGAAGUAGUCUUCUUGUAGCCUUGCUCCACACAUAACUGACUCAAACUUCUAGUACCACCGACGCGGGCCUGCUUCAAACAAUAUAGACUCUUUCUCAGCCUACACACAUAGUUCCUUGCUUUAACCAGAAAGCCUUCAGGUUGCUUCAUGUAAAUCUCUUCCUCCAAGUCACCAUGAAGGAAGCGGUUUUGACAUCCAUUUGCUCUACCUCCAAAUUAAGAGUAGCAGCCAAACUCAACACGGUUCUAAUGGAUGACAUCUUCACCACAGGAGAAAAAAUCUCAUUGAAAUCAACACCCUUUCUCUGUCUGAAACCUUUCACAACCAAUCUCGCUUUAUACCUUGGAGAUGUAGAAGUGCUUUCUUGCUUCACCCUGAAGAUCCACCUGUUUUCUAAAGCCUUCUUGCCCUUAGGCAAUUUCACCAAAUCAAAAGUGUGAUUAUCAUGCAAAGACUUCAUUUCAUCUUGCAUAGCAUCCAGCGACUUCUUCUUUUCAUCACUCUCUAUGGCUUCAUCAUAACAUUCAGGUUCUCCUUCAUCAGUCAAGGUAACAUAUUCAUCAGAAGGAUACCUGGUGGGUGGUUUCCUCUGCCUAGUAGACCUCCAAACUUGAGCUUGAGGGAGUUCAGGAGCAUCACCAAGAUCCUCAUCUUGUGACAUUUCAUGUUCCUCUUCAUCAUCAUCAUUAGGAACAUCAAAAUCAUCUCCAAGGUGCUGAUCACCAACAUCAUCAUGUUGCUCAUCAUUCUGAACAUUAUUUUCAGCAGUAUCCAGAUCAUGUAUAGGCAUCCGAACUGGAUCAACAUCAGACAAACCAUUAUCAAUCUCAGGUGUAGUCUAAUGUAUAGGCAUCCGAACUGGAUCAACAUCAGACAAACCAUUAUCAAUCUCAGGUGUAGUCUUCUCCAUCUUAUCAAUGUCUUCAAUGGUUUGGUCUUCCAUGAACUUCACAUCACGGCUUCUAACAGCUUUCUUCUCAACUAGAUCAUACAUCUUGUACCCAAAUUCAUCCUGACCAUAACCGAUAAAGAUGCAAUGUCUUGUCUUCGCAUCCAACUUGGAUCUCUCAUCCUUUGGAACAUUCACAUAUGCUUUGCAACCGAAGACACGCAAAUGAUCAUACCUGACAUUCUUGCCAAACCAAAUCUUGUCUGGCACCUCAGCAUUCAAAGCAACUGCAGGACUCAGAUUAAUAACAUGCACUGCCAUGUACAAUGCUUCACCCCAGAAAUGCUUAGGCAAGUUUGCUUCAGAAAGCAUACACCUAACUCUUUCAAUCAAUGUCAUGUUCAUUCUCUCUGCUAAACCAUUCAGCUGAGGAGUUUUAGGAUGAGUCUUUUCAUGUCUGAUAUCGUGCUGCUUCCAAUAAACAUCAAAUGGUCCACAAUACUCACCACCAUUGUCAGUACGAAUGCAUUUCAGCUUCUUGCCUGACUGUCUCUCCACCAUAAUAUGGAACUCUUUGAAUUUCUCCAGAACUUGGUCUUUUGUCUUCAAAGCAUAGACCCAAAGCUUCCUGGAACAAUCAUCAAUAAAAGUAACAAAAUAAAGUGCACCACUAAAUGACUUUACCUUCAACGGGCCACAAACAUCAGAAUGCACCAAUUCAAGCAACUCUGACUUCCUUGAGGGAGGAUGUUUCUUGAAGGAUACUCUAGUCUGCUUACCAUCCAUGCAAUGAGAACAUUUCUCCAACUCUGCACUCUUUAAUCCCGGAAGUACAUCCUUUUUAGCUAAACAAUUCAGCCCCUUUUCACUGAUAUGACUAAGCCUACGGUGCCACAAAGAAGCCUCCAUAUCCAUGGCAUUCACACUGUCUUUAGCAACCAAUGCUUUAGUCCAAUACAGUUUAUUAAUUUUCUCCCCUCUGGCCACAACUAAGUUACCUCUGGUGAGUUUCCAUUUUCCUGAACCAAAGUGAUUAUGAUAACCACCAUCAUUAAGCAUCUGCAUAGAUAUCAAAUUAAAGCGAACAUCUGGAGCAUGUUUGACUCCUCUAAGCAACAACUGCACUCUCAUGUUGGUCUGCAAACAAACAUCACCAAUACCAACUACCUUGGACACACCAUCAUUACCCACCUUCAACACUCCAAAGUCACCAGAAGUGUAAGAUGUGAAGAACUCCUUUCUUGGUGUAACAUGCAGUGUAGCACCACUAUCAAUAAUCCACAUGCUCUCAUCUGAUACAAGAUUUACUGAAUCAUAGUCAUGGAGAAUAAUCAGAUCAUCACAAGUAGCAGUAGUAACACGGUCAUAAUCAUCAUGAUUCUUAUCUCUCUACUUACUGUUAUUAUUUUUUCUCUCCCUUUUCCAUAUGAAACAGUUCCUUUGUAUAUGCCCCAUUUUGUGACAAUAAUUGCACUCCACAUUCUUGUAUCUGGACUUUGACUUGCUUCUGUUGUUCUCUCUACUCGCACUUCUGCUAUUCUGUCUGUUCCCUUUCGGUUCCUUUCUUUGACUUCGGCCCUGUUCUCAGUGACAAGUACCUCGGAAUGAGAUGAAGUACCUUGUGCCUUCCUUCUCAUCUCCUCAUUAAGAACACUUCCCUUUACACUUUGCAAAGAGACAACACCAUUAGAAGCUGAGUUUGUAAUUGAAACCCAAAAAUUUUCCCAAGAAUCUGGUAGAGCAUUCAGUAGCCAUAAUCCCAACACUUCAUUAUCAAAUUUGAUACCCAUACCUAACAAUUGAUCUAGGAGCCCUUGAAAAUCAUUUAAGUGAUCUGAAAUAGAAGCCCCCUCCUUGUACCUCAAAUUCAUCAAGGAAUUCAACAAAUACAACUUAUUAUUCCCUGAUUUAGAAGCAUACAAAGAUUCAAUCUUCUUCCACAAGGAUCUUGCAUGUUCCUCAUUAGCAAUGUGAUAUAAACAUUGUCUUCUACAUAUUCCGAAUAAAACCACAAACCUGCUGAUGUUCAAAACUCCAAUCCUCAUCAGUCUUGGAUUCGGCUUCUCAAACACAGGAAGAUGCAAAUUCUUCACAAAUAACAUAUCCUUCAUUUUUCCCUUCCACAAGUGAUAAUUAGAGCCAUUCAAACAGAUCAUUCUAUUUGUAUUUGCCUCCAUCAUUCAAACAAGUCAAAACAUCCCCUUAACCAAAGAGCUCUGAUGCCACUCUGAUGGGAAAUUCAACAACAAAUAACAUAAACAACUCUAACAGAGCAAUAUGCAGCGGAUAAUCAAUUUCUCAAACUUGCAAGAAUCUUGUGAGGAGCAACAACAAAUAAUCACGGCAACUAAAAUCACCACCACAAGGGACACAAUAAUUUUUAACGUGGAAAAACCUUUUCAAUGUGAGAAGUAAACUAACCACGGACCCAAGCCAGUAAUAGAGCUCCACUAUGAUCAAAAUAUGGGUACAAGAGAGUUUUAAAUAUGGCACAAAUUCGUGCUCAGUAACCAGCCAAAAACAGCAAGAUAACCAGCAUAACAAUCAGCCAAAAUAAUGAGAAAAUAAGCAUGAAAUUGAGAACAAAGUUCAGCAGAAAAACCAUAAAAUACUGCUACUGUCCGAGCUCAAUUUCUCCCACCUCAGACCUCUGAUCGAUGAUCCAACCGGUCAGAUUGAAGUACCAUGAGUCACGAACCUGCUGUCCAAAUUUCAGCCCGAUUCGACGGUGAACGAAGGAGGAAUCGCGAAUCUAGUGCAGCUGCUCUAUUUUAUGCGAAAAUGGGUUUUGCUCUUCCUCUCUCACUUUUCUCUUGUCUCACUCUUUCAAUUCAACUCUCUCACUCUCACUAAUCUGACCUCUCUCCACUUGGUUAAGUGAGACACAUGGGCUUGCACAUAUUGAGUCUUUCUCCACAUAGGAAGGGAACCCAAAACCCAACACAAACCACUUUUCAUAUUCUUCUUUCUCCCACUCCUUAUUCUCUCACUACAAAAGUGUCUCUCUGUUUCUAGCUUCUUCUCCAUUGUUGUACUUUUAAAAGGUCAAUUUUUUAAUUUUAAUCUUUAUAAAUUUAUAAUUUAUUUUUAUUAUUGUAAUAAGAGUAAAAAAUAUAUUAUUACUUUCUUGAGCCUGAGAUUGUGUUAAUGGCAGAAAAUUUAUUUUUAGAGUUUUGUAGUGUUUGUUUGAAAUUAUUGUGUUUGUAUCAAUUUUAUAGUAUUGUUAUGAAUUUUUUGAAUAUGAUUUUAAUUGUGAUUUUUUGUUUUGUUUUUAGUAAUAAACAAUGGAAAAAUAUUUCAAAAUAAAAUCAAUAGAGGAAUCAUCAACUCCUAAUCCUCAAACGCCUAAUGAACGUCGAAGCCCAAAACUGGGUCCUCCCAUGAAAAAAAAGGUUUUUGGAGUUUGAAUUGGAAAAACUUUCGAACGAUCCCGGUUUAAGGCCAAAAAUGUCAGAUUAUCAUCCAAGUGAUAUAGAUGAAAUUAGAAGAUAUUAUUUGCAAAAGGGUCCUCGUCAACCAAAAGAAAUUACUUUUUCACAAAGAAAAUUUUGACCCCGUUACUCAAAAUUUCUGGCUCCGUCCUUGCAUUUAAGAUUAGGUCAUCCUAGUUUUCGUUACUUAAAACACUUGUUUCCUAAAUUAUUUCACAAUAAAAACUUAUUCGUUUAAAUGUGAAGCAUGUGAAUUUGCAAAGCAUCAUUAUUCCCAAUUUUCAAUACAGCCUUAUAAACCAUCAAAACCUUUUUCCAUUAUUCAUAGUGAUGUUUGGGGCCCUAACCGUACAAGUACACUCUCUCUCAAAAAAUGGUUUAUCACCUUUAUAGAUGAGCAUACAAGAGUAUGUUGGGUGUACUUGUUAAAGGGAAAAUCAAAUGUUUGUCAGGUUGUAAAGAAUUGUUUUUCAAAGAUGCAGAACCAAUUUCAAACAAAUAUCCAAGUCUUUAGAAGUGAUAAUGGUAAAGAAUAUUUUAACACUAUCCUGGGUGAUUUUUUUCUAAAAAAUGGGAUUGUACAUCAAAGUUCUUGUCCUAAUACUCCUCAACAAAAUGGAGUGGCCGAAAGGAAAAAUAGACAUUUACUAGAGGUUGCUAGAGUUCUACUUUUUUCAAAUAAAGUACCAAAUUAUUUAUGGGACGAAGUUGUUUUAACAGCUGCGUAUUUAAUUAACAGAAUGUCCUCCAAAAUUCUCAAUUUUCAAACUCCUAUUAAUGUCUUCAAAGAAUGUUUUCCUAGUACUCGUGUUUUAACUGAUUUGACUUUAAAAAUCUUUGGUUGCACAAUCUUUGUUCAUGAACAUAAAAAUGUUGGAAAACUUGAUCCACGUGCUAUAAAAUGUGUUUUUGUUGGAUACUCCCUAACCCAAAAAGGAUAUAAAUGUUUUGAUCCAAAAAAUAAGAAAAUGUUUAUCACUAUGGAUGUUACAUUCUUUGAAAAUAAACCUUUCUUUUAUGAUACUCAUCUUCAAGGGGGGAGAUAAACGGAGACUCGUUUAAAAUUGAGGACAUGAGUUUUUUAAAUAACCUAUCUUUGCCAGUAUCACAAAAUUCUAAGAUUUUUACACCUGCACCAACAGAAAAUGGCCAUGAUUCUUUAUUUGAUCCUACUCUUGUUAUAAGUAAGGAACCUUGUGAAUCUGAGUCUAUAUUUUCUCUUAUAGAAAAUAAUGAGAAUCCUGAAAACAAUUAUAAUGAUGAUCUAAUUGAAAUGCCAUAAAAUAAUGAGUCAUUUCAACAAAACAAAUUUGAAUUAGGAAACAGGAAUUGGAAAGGAAAGGUUUUUGUGAAAAAGCAUCAUAAAGGAAAGGACCAGUGGAGGGAAGUUGUAGAAAUUCUAAAAAGUGUACAGGUUGUUCUAGAAAUUCCAAAGUGGAGGGAAGUUGUACUUGAGGAGAUGAAAGCUCUUGAAAAGAAUAAAACUUGGAGUGUUACGUCACUACCAGAUGGCAAGAAGACAGUUGGAUGCAAAUGGGUGUUUACUGUGAAGUAUAAUUCAGAUGGAUCAAUUGAAAGGUACAAGGCUCGCUUGGUGGCUAAAGGCUUUACUCAUACCUAUGGUAUAGAUUACUCAGAGACAUUUGCUCCCGUUGCAAAAUUGAACAUUGUCAGAAUUUUUUUGUCUCUUGUUGCUAACAUGGAUUAGCCUUUGCAUCAGUUAGAUGUUAAGAAUGCAUUUCUUAAUGGCGAUCUAGAAGAAUAAGUAUAUAUGGACAUUCCUCCUGGCUUUGAAAACAAAGUUGGAUCAAAUGUGUGCAAACUAAAUAAGUCUUUGUAUGGAUUAAAGCAGUCCUCUAGACCUUGGUUUGAAAAGUUCACCCAGUCCAUGAAGAAACAAGGGUACAUCCAAGGACGGGCUGAUCAUACCUUGUUCACAAAAUUCUCCCACGAUGGAAAAGUUAUUGUCCUGAUUGUUUUUGUUGAUGAUAUUGUCCUUACUGGAGACGAUACAGCGGAAAUGACAAGAGUAAAAGAGAAAUUGGCAGUAGACUUUGAAAUCAAGGACCUGAGAUUCAUGAGAUAUUUUCUAGGUAUGGAGGUUGCUCGGUCAAAAAAUGUAUUGUGGCUUUACAACAAAAAAACAUUAUAAACUUGUUGAAAGAAACAGGAAUGAGUGGAUGUCGUUCUGUAGAUACCCAUAUGGAUCCUAAUGCUAAACUUUGGGGAGAAGGUAAUGUUUUUGUUGAUACUGGGAGAUAUCAGAGAUUGAUUGGGAAACUGAUUUAUUUGUCACACACUCGACCUGAUAUUGCUUUCUCAGUUAGUGUAGUGAGUCAGUUUAUGCAUUCUCCUUUCGAGGAACAUCUUGAGGCAGUCUAUAGGAUACUGAGUUAUUUGAAGGGAAAUCCUAGAAAAGGAUUAUUUUUUAAGAAGACUAGUGAAAGAAAUGUGUCUAUCUUCACCGAUGUCGAUUGGGCAGGUUCAGUCAUAGAUAGAAGAUCAACCUCUGGAUAUUGUACCUAUGUUUAGGGUAAUCUUGUGACAUGGAGGCGCAAGAAACAAGGAUUUGUAGCAAGGAGUAGUGCAGAGGCCGAGUUUAGAGCUAUGUCUCAAGGUAUUUGUGAAGGAUUAUGGAUCCUUAGAGUCCUAGAAGAACUCAAGAUGAAAAUUGAGCUUCCAUUGAAAUUGUACUCUGAUAGUAAAGUUGUUAUUAGCAUAGCUCAUAAUCCAGUUCAAUAUGACAGAACCAAGCAUAUCGAGAUUGAUCGACACUUCAUAAAGGACAAGUUAGACGCGGGAAUCAUAUGUCUACCCUUCGUGACUUCAAGUCAACAAACUGCGGAUAUCCUAACCAAAAGUUUGACAAGACCUACUUUUGAGUAUUUGAUACACAAGUUGGGCAUGAUAGAUAUAUAUGCACCAACUUGAGGGGGGGUGUUGGAAAAUAUAUUAUUUUCGGUUUUAUUAUUGGCUUUAAUACUACCUUUAUUUUUCUUUAUUCUCCAUUAAGGAGAAAAUCAAUUGUAAUAAUUGUAUCCUCAUUAUAUAAACCAUCUUAAGGCUGGUGAAUAAAAUAUAACAGAUUUUACCUAUUUUUUUCCAAUAGCUACACUAGCUCUUUGACUUCGACAGAGCUCUUCGACUUCAACUGAAUUUGCUACAACACUAGCUUAUAACCCAUAAGCUGCAAAUAUUCACCUUGGAACGAUUUUUGAACCAUGAAACCAACUAGCUGUCAUCAUGCAGUCCUAUCAGCGACAUACAGUGGAAAAACUUGCAACUUGGUAAUGUCUUGGUGAUCAUAUCAACAACAUUGUCAUCAGUAGAAACUUUUAGCAUUUGGACUUCUCCACACUCGAUUAUCUCUCUGACGAAAUGUAGCCUCACAUCAAUGUGCUUGGUUCACUCAUGAUAGGAUGAAUUCUUCGACGUGUGUAUUACACUUUGACUAUCAAGUUUAACAAUGAUUGAUUGAACUUGAAGUUUGAGCUCCUUAGCAAAAACUUCAAGCCACAAUGCUUCUUUCAUAUCAUUGGUGAGGUAAAUAUACUUCGCUUCAAUGGUUAAUAAUGUAACAACCUUAUGAAGUGUUGCUUUCCAACUGAUUGUUGUGCCAAAUAUAGUGAACAUGUAUUCAGAAAUAGAUUUUCUAGAAUCCAUACAAUCUGCAUAAUCAGAGUUGACAAAUCCUUUGAUUUUGACUUUGCUAUCAUCACCAUAGGCUCCACCAUAAAUCAGGACUCUGCUCAGAGACCCAUUUAUGUACCUUAGAAUCCACUUUAAUGCUUGUCAGUGCGCCUUCUCAGGAUUGGCCAUAUACCUGCUUACAAGGAUCAUUUCAUAUGCUAUGUCUAGCCUUGUACAUACCAUAACAUACAUCAAAGAACCUAUUAUACUAGCAUAUGGAAUACUAUUCAUAUAGGCUCUUUCGAUUUCAGUACUAGGACUUUGAGUCGUACUUAACUUGAAUUGAGGAUUAGUCGGUGUUACAACAGGUUUUGAAUUCGACAUACCAACCUUAUCGAGAAUCUCCUUCAGGUAUGUCUCUUGAGAUAAGCAUAAUCUUGACUUCUUUCUAUCUCUCUGGAUGUCAAUCCCAAUAAUCCUGGAGGUAGCUCCUAGAUCUUUUAUGUCGAACUCCUUAUUGAGUCAUGCGUUCACCUUUACCACAAUCUCAACACUGUUUCUUGUUAUGCGGAUGUUAUCCACAUAAAGCAACAUAAUUUUAAGUAAACACAGUGGUCAAAUUGGAUCCUAGUGAAACCUAUGUGUGCCAUGAAUUUGUUAAAUCUCCUAUUCCAUUGUCGAGGAGAUUGUUUCAGGCCAUAUAACGACAUAUUCAACUUACACACAUAAUCUUCCUUUCCUUUUUUUGCAUGCUCUUCAGGUUGCCUCAUCAUAAUUGUUUCAUCUAGAUCACCAUACAAGAAAUGAGUAUUCACAACCAUCCAUUCUAAUUCUAGGUCAAACUUUUCCACCAUGGCUAACAAUGUUCUGAUGGAUCUAUGCUUUACAACAAUUGAGAACACAUCAUUAAAGUCGACUCCUUCUUUCUGAGUGAACCCACUAGAAACCAAUAUUUCCUUAAAUCACUUCGAAAUCACUCAUUUGAUUCCUUCUUUAACCUUAAAGUUCUACUUACAACUGACUAACUUGGCCCUUGCAGGUUUCUCGAUCAGCUCUUAAGUGUUAUUAUCAUGAAGAGAUUCCAUAUCAUCAUCCAUGGCUUUCAUCCAUUAAGUCCUAUUUCAAAUCCUCAUAGCUUCAUUGUAGUCUCUUGGUUCUUCAUCCAGAACCUAAUUUGUAGAUAUUAAGGCAUAAGUUAUGACAUCUGCAUAACCAAGUCUCUGAGGUGGCUUGAAGACUCUUCUCGAUUUGUCUCUUGCCAGCCGAUAGUCAUUUUCAGUCUCUUCAUCUUCAUCAACAAAUUGGACUUGUUCUGUGACUUCAUCUAGGUUAUGCAAUUCAACAUAACUAUGCUCCACAUCAACAAGAAUCUCUUCUUGUUCUAUCUCUUCUCCAGAGAUCUUUGUACUUCCACCAACGUGAUCAAUUUUCUUGAAAUCCAUCUCAACUUAAUUGAAAACUACAUCUCAAUUUUUGAUACACCUCAUAUGACCUGGCUCUAGGCACCACAACCUAUAAGAUUUGACUCCUUUAGAGUAUCCAAGGAAGAUACAUCUCAAAGCUCUAGGUUUGACAUUGUAUUGCCUAAUGUGAGCACAUGCUACACAACCAAAUUAGAUGGAUGCCUCGACUAGAUUUCUUCAGGUGUCUUCAUCCCCAAGGAAGUCGAGGGACACCUAUCUAUCAAGUAUGCUACUGUUGUAGCCGCCUCAGCCCAAAACACAUUCUUUGAUUAAACCUUUCAGCCAAACCAUUUUGUUGGGGACUGCAUGCACUAGUUUUGUGAUUUGCAAUGAUAUACGCGUCAUAACUGUCGAAAGCCUCAUUACAAAAUUUAAGACCAUUGUCAGUCCUCAACCUCUUAACCUUCCUGCCAGUUUGGUUUUCGAUCAGAGUCUUCCAACUUCUGAAAUUUUUAAAAGUUUCAUCCUUAGUCUUCUAUAUGAAUACCAAUAACUUUAUAGAAUAAUCAUCAACUAUGGAUAGAAAAUACUUUUCACCUGAGUGUGAAGGAUUCAUUGCAGACCUCCAAAGAAAUGUAGUGACUACACAACAUGGCCUUGUCUUUUCCUUCAUUUUUUCCACGAAUUUUAUAGCUUACCUGGACAACAAAACUCAUGACUGCAUCAAUCUCUUCUUUUCCACAAGUUAUGGUACGCACUCACUUUUCCUGCAUGAGGACAUAGUUAACUCUGUUAAGCGCGGGAAAGGGAUCUUGAGUGAGCAGAUUUGAUCUCAUUGUUCCAUACAUUGUGUCAUCGAGUCCCACGAGGAACUGAUGCACUCUUUCUUCUUCACGUUUCAUUUCAAAGCAUAAUUCCAAACAAGCGCACUUUCCACAAGUUGAUAUUUGCUCAUAAUUUGCUAAUUCCUCCCACAACUUUUCCAAUCGACCAAAAUAGAUCACAAUAGUUAAUCCUUUCUAUUUGCAGUUUAGCUGUUGUAUACGCGGACCAUUGACAACUGAAAACCUCUCUUUGAUAUCUAUCCAAAGAUCAUGUGCUACCUCCAUGUGUGACAUGGUGGAACAUAACGGGGCUCAAUGAUAUUCAUUAUCCACGAGACUAAUAACGAGUUAUUCGUCCACCCAUCUUCCCAUCUUCAAGAUCCGAUGAAUCUUCAUCUGGUUUCUUGAUAGUUCCAUCUACAAAACCAAAUUUCUUUUUGGAUCUCAACAUAGUUCGGAGUGAGCGCACCCACUCAUUAUAGUUUUCUCAUUUCAAUUAGACUUGUAUCACCAAACUUCCAGGAUUGUCAUUUGGUGUUAUGUCGUAGGGAGAAAUGGUAUUUCUUACAUGGUUUUGUUUUCUUCUCCAGCUAUGGUAACAAGAAACGAGACAACCAAUUUCUUAGAUCAGGAUUUGCUUUAAUACCAUUAAGAAACGAAUAAAGGUGAAUAGUGUGUUUUCUAUUGAUUCUAAAUCAUAUAUUUAUACAAUAAAACUAUGAUCUAUUUUCCUAAAAUAUCAAGUUAUACUUAUGUUAAUCAGAAUUACUUUACAAAUAUUCAUUAUGACAAGAUGAAAUAUGAUUCUAUUUAAUAUAGCAACUUAAUAUAUAAGAUCAAAUAUGAUUAUAUUUAAUAUAUCAACUUAAUAGUUCACAUUUGAUUAUUAUUUUUAGGACGUUCAGUUUUUUUAAAAAUAUUUGAUCUAACAUAUUUUUUUACUAAUCUUCUAUUUACAAGUCACAUUUUAUGAACAUUAUAGAUGAUAUUUUGUUUAAUUUCAUAUAGUGUAUAAAAUAUUUAUUUGGAGAGUAUAAGUAUUUAUUUUAUAUACAAACUACAAUCCAUUAAAAUAUAGCCAAUUAAAAAACUUAAAACCUUUACCCUAAGUAAAUUGAAAAUUUUGAUAAAGUUUUCUUUUUAAUAAAAUAACAUUCAUCUAGCAUUACUAUCAUUUAUUUAUUAAUGUCACAAAUUUUCACUUAAACCUAUUUAUUUCUAUCAUUCAAUCAAAAAUGUAAAGUUUUUUCUUAAUUAUAAUUAUUACGACCAUUAAAAACAUAUAUAUUCACUACUAAAAAAUCCACAUAAAAAAUCACAAUUAAAUAAUCAUCAUUAAAAAUAAAACACUAAAUACAGUUCAAGAUUAAAGGAAAUAUAUAUUCAUGAAUAAGAUAAUUGAUAUCAAUGAAAGAAUUGUUAAAACAGAAACACUAAGGUAUACUUAUGUAAAAUCACACUAUUUUAUUUAAUACUGAAACAUGGCUUAAAUAGCCUACAAAAUGAAAACUGAAAUAGUAAAAAUAACUGCAGAAAAAUAGGAACAAAACGUAGAGAGAAAAGACUGAAACAAACUCCUACUAACCCACUAAAAUAGAACGUGCUCAACACCUCCUAAAAGCACUAGGUUAAUUUAAAUCACUAACAGAAAUCCUAAAUUGUAGCUAGUACACUAACACAUCAGAUCCAACAAUUCCUCCCUUUAAACUGGAAAUGCUAAUCAAGCAUCCAGUUUAAUGUUCUCGAACUUGUAUCCCAAGCAAGCUUCUUAGCUUAACAAAUGUCUCCAAUUUUACUGGUUUAGUCAUGAUAUCUGCCACCUGCUCUUCAGUCCCACAAAACACUAGCUUCACAACUUCUUGACUUAUAAGAUCACGUAAAUAAUGAUACCUCACAUCUAUAUGUUUUGUCCUCUUAUGCAUCACUGGAUUUUUUGAGAGUUUAAUGGAGGAACUAUUAUCGCAUAAGAUCUCGAAGCACUGACAAGGCUUUGGUGCUGAACUGUUAAAGAAUUCCUUUCACCCAAACACAGUGGCAAGCACAGGAUGUUGGCAGCUACACUCAGCUUCGGUCGAGGAUAAAGUGACUAUAGCUUGUUUCGUGAACUCAACACACAGCUGCUUUUAGUAGAAAUACAUAUCCUGACGUGCUCUUCCUGUCGUAUAUAUCUCCGACAUAAUCGCUAUCAGUAUACUUUGGUAUUGAUCAGAUCCCGCUUAUAGAAGAGACCAAAUCCAGAGUGCCCCUUAAGUACCUUAAGCCUCUUAGCAAUUUGCAUAUGCUCUUCUCUAGGUUUGGCCAUGAAACGAGAUAUUAAACAUACCACAUACAUCAUAUCAGGUCUGUGACUGUUAAUACAUAGGCAGCCCACAGUUGCUUGUAUUAGUUAGGCCAUCCACAUCUUGCCUUCUCUUCAAUUGAGUUUGUCCCUGGUACUAUAGAUUUUGACAGGAUGCAAUUCCAUUAUCUUGAAUCUUCAACGCACUUCCUGUAGCAUACUUCUUCUCUGACAUAGAUGGAUUCCCUUCAUGCUUUGAUGUACUUCAACACCAAGAAGAAACUUCAUCCUCCCUAGAUCAGUCAUCUCGAAUUCUUGUUUCAUUGAUUGCUUAAACUCUCACACAUCACAUCAUUCCCAAACAAAAUUAAAUACACACAUAAACUUACCAUAAGCAAUUUUUCUCCAACACUCUUGUUGAAUAAAGUGUGAUCAUGGUUGCUUUUCUCAAGCCCUUAUGUCUGAAAUAACUUUCAAUUCGACUAAACCAUGCCUAGGAGCCUGUUUAGGCCGUAAAAGCUUUGUUAAGUCGAUAAACUUUGUUCUCACCUUUCUGACAAAUCCUCUGGUUGAUCCACAUACACAACUCCUUUAGCUCCCGUACAAGAAGACACUUUACAUCCAACUGAUACACUGUCCAUCCUUUUUGUGCCAGCACAGCGAGCAUAAUUCUUAUAGUGUCUCAUCGAGCAACUGGAGCAAAACUUCAUCAUAAUCGAUCCCUUCCUUUUGAGCAUACCCUUUUACACCACCUCGCCUUGUAUUAUCGACCCGUCCAUCCUCAUUUAGUUUUUUUUGAAACAACCAUUACCCCGUAUUUUUGCUCGAGCCGGAGAACCACAAGCUCCCAAGUAUUGUUCUCCAUCGUAGCUUGUAAUUCACGCUUCAUUGCCUUCUAUCCAUUUAUCUUCUUGGUCGCCUCCUACAAAAUUUGGGAGGAUCAUUGUGAAAAAAACAGCACCAUACUGCGCCUAUUUCUUCUUCCGAAAAUUAUGCUCCACUCUCAUAGUCAUGCAUCCACGCGGGUCUCUUCGUCUUUUUGAGCUUUCGAUCAAAAGUACUUGGUGCAUCAGAAUUUUCAGAAUCUGGCUCAACUGUUGCAGGUUGUUUCUUCUUAGUUGUUCUUCGCGGUCAGCCUCCACCUCUUCUUCGUGUUCUCCCUCAGUUGUUACUUCCUUCAUCAUUGCAAGCCAGAAUAUCAGAUUUGACUCGGUUCCGCUGUUUCCAGUCCCAUUUCCUUCCUCUCGAAUAUAACAUCUCGAUUAAUACUAUUUUAUUUGAUAUUGGAUCAAAUAGUCGAUACGCCUUGAUUCCUCGUGAUCCGAGCAGAAUGCAUUGUGACUUAUAUUAUGUUUUAUCCUAUGUUGUUCAGGAUGUGUACCUAGCAAUGCAGCCAAACACCUAAAAUGAUCAACACUUGGUGUUGACCCCAUUCCAACACUCUUCUGGCACCAUGUCAUUUACAGCACUUGUCUACUCCUAUUUAGCACAUGCGUGUCCAUCUUGGCAGCUUCAGGCCAAAUUUCUUUGGCAUUUCUUCUCUGUGAGCAAACAUCGCAACCAUAUUAUUUAUGGUAUUGAUUUCUCUUCUUUCAGCUACUCCAUUUUGUUGUGGAGUUAGGCAGCGGUUAAUUGUCGUCUAUCCCAUGUUCCUCGCAGAAUGGUUGAAGGAGGUUUGAGUGAAUUCUCCUCCCCCUAUCUGUCCUUAAACAGCAUAUAUACUUUCCAUUUUUCGACACGACUUUUGACCUUUUAAACAAUGUCAAAGUUCACUCUUUUUCUGUACAAGAAAGUAUAUCAAGUCUGUGGGAAAAUCAUAAAUAAGAACUACAUGUACCUUUUACACUAUGACAUGUUAAGAGAUAUAGGACACUAAAUCUCUGCAUGCAACUAGUUCGGAGUUUGUUCAUGAGUCUUUCCACUUUGCCUCUUUUUGAUAUAAAUUCUCGAUGUUGCUUCCCAACAUUACAAACUUCACAUACCCCGUCUGCACUUUUGAGUUGUGGUAACCCUUUGACCAUUCCUUUAUACUGCAUGGUGUGAAUGGCUUUGUUGUUUAAAUGCCUAUAGCGCUUGUGCCAGAGGUUUUCAACUUCCCCUCCUUCUACCUUCAUGCACUUGCUCGAGAGAGGUUUCCUAAAUGCAAACACAAUGAACAGUCGAUUCGCACUCAUUCUAGUGUUCAUAAUUAGGCCUCUUUGAGGAUGGUAAACUUUGCACAUCGCUCCUUUAAUACGAAUAUCUACUCCCUUCUCUUGUAGUUGCCCAAUGCUUAAAAGGUUGCUGGAUAAUUUUGGAACAAAGAAAACAUCAGAUAUCAAUUGAGUUAUGCCCUCAACUUCAAAUCUGAUAUUUCCUUUUCCCAUAAUAGCCAACUUUGAGUUAUUUCCCAAUUUUACAGUGUGCCUGAAGCUCUCAUUUAUUUCACAGAACCAGCCUUUGUUACCUGUCAUGUUGUUUGAACAACCAGAAUCAAGAAACCAAACUCCCUUGUGUCCAUCACCUUCAACUUCUACUAGUGUCAUCAGCAAUAACUCUUCACUAUCAUCAAAUUCAACAUAGUUUGCUUCCCUUCUCAUACUCGGACACUCAUAUUGGAAAUGUCCCAGCUUGUGACACCUGAAGCAUUCAAUAGUAGUCUUUUCGUAACCUGGCCUGGUUCUUCCUCUCCCUCUUGAGUUGUUACUGCCUCCUCUUGGAUAGUUGUUCCUUCCUCUACCACGUCCAAAGUAAGAGUCAUGCUCUACCUUUAGAGCCUGCUCUUCACUUUUCUUAUGGCACACCUUAUGCUCGUGUACCAGUAACAAGCUUUGUAGCUCAUCAACCGUAAGUUGGUUGAUGUCCUUAGAUACUUCAAUCGAACACACAACAAAGUUGAAAUUCUCUGUUAAUGAUCGAAGUAUCUUUUCGACGAUUUUAACAUCUCCCAUAUCUUCUCCACAAUUUCUCAUAUCAUUCUGCAAAUAACCAUUACUCUUCCGAAGUAAUCGUUAUCGAUUCUCCCAUCUUCAUCUCCAAGUUUCGAAAGUCCUUCGAAAACUGCAGUGGGCACGCUUCACUCGGUGCACUUCCUGGUACUUGGUUUCAUUGACUCCCAUAAUUGUUUUGCAGGUCUCCUUCUGUGUGCAAGAUGCGUCUUCAAGAAGGACUUGUCAAUGGCCUUGAACAAAUAGAUUUAUUGCUUUCAGUCUUUGAGUUCUGCUUCAUCCACUUCCUUUUUCGGGCUGCCGUCACCACUUCAUUUUUGUCAGGUGCUUGGCAACCAUCUUGAAUUACACACCAGUAUUCUUUUGAACGCAUCAAGUUCUCCAUGACCAAACUCCAAUGAUCAUAAUCCCCAUCAAAUUUGGGAACACAUGGGGUAGUGAAAUUUCCUGAUCCAGCUGCCAUUUCUCUCACUAAUGUUUUCACUCUCAGUGUUUAAUCACUCAAUCAGGCCCCCUUGCGAGAGCUCUAUACCAAAUGUUAAAACAGAAACACUAAGGUAUACUUCUGUAAAAUCACACUACUUUAUUUAAUACUUAAACAUGGUUUAAAUAGCCUACAAAAUGAAAACUGAAAUAGCAAAAAUAACUGCAGAAAAAUAGGAACAGAACGUAGAGAGAAAAGACUGAAACAAACUCCUACUAACCCACUAAAAUAGAACGUGCUCAGCACCUCCUAAAAGCCCUAAGUUAAUUUAAAUCACUAACAGAAAUCCUAAAUUGUAGCUAGUACACUAACACAUCAGAUCCAACAAGAAUAUUCUAUUUUUAUUGAAUUUUUAAAAUAAAAUAAAAAUGUUUAAUUAAAAUAUCACUUAUAUAUACAUAUAAAUUAUAAGUUGUAACCAAAGAAUAUUCAAGUUUGAACGGUUCAACAGUAGAACCAACCUAAAUGUAAGAGAUUUUGACUAAAGAAUUAACAGAUGCUAUGUUGAUGGAACCUAAACCCUAACCCCUAUUAUAUAUAUAUAUAUGGAUUUCAUUCUUGUCAUGAAAUAGCAUUUGCAAACAAGAGAAUUCUCUUUGUCCAUUCUGAUUAUAGCUUCCAUUAUGGGUGCAGAAAUUUUCGGAAGAAACAUAUUUGGUCGUGUGGAACCUGACCCGGACGAUGACAGCAUCCUUGAAAGAGAUUACAAGAUUAAAGUGGCAGCUUAUGAAUUACUCUGAUGUCUGAUCAUGACUGAGAUUGUAAUGUUACUUUUAUCAUUAAAUUACACUUUGUUAUGAAUUCCAAAUGUCUUGAUGAAAUAAACUAGUAGUUUUUACAUCUCACAGAAAAGAAAUUGUAUCAUGUUUAUGAUGAGCUUUUCUGUGUAGGCCAGUUGAUACUCAUGCUAUCAUUUACUGUUUUUUAGGAUGGAGUUUUCGUUUGCAGAAUGCUUUUGAAAAUGUAGUCAAUGAAACCUUUAGCAAGAUGUAAGAAACAACCCAAUCAUACUGUAUCUAUACACCAUAGACCGCAUCAUGUUAAAUUUGAGACUAACUUUCUUUUAUUUGUAAGGGAAAGAAUAAAUUAGUCCAAAUAAAUUUCCCUUACAAUUAAUAAAAAGUAAGUAUUGUUUAUAUUUUUAAACAUUAACACGAUAAAAAACGGAUAGUCAUGCACAUCUGCAUACCGAUUUUUAAAUAUAGUCUUUCUCUUUUUUGCCGAUCUACACACUGUAUUGUCUUUGUCUCUUAAGACAUCCCUACAAAAUCGGGUUUUUUAAGAUGAGUGAUUUUGCUCAAUAUAAACUCUUUUAGGCUCUUUUAGGCUUUAUCUUUAAUCAACGUGGAACUUUGUUUUCUUCAAUACAGCCCUAAGUGCGUGAACAUAAAUGGUAGGUGUCAUGAAAUAUCCUUAAGUGGAUUUGGUUUUUUUAAUACACCUCAUUACGCCAAUCAAUACUAUUGGUCUUUGUCGCGUACAUUAAUGAUGGGUGGUCAGAUUAUUGGCGCACAUAUAAACGAAGAGAUAUCUUGAUUGUUAGAUAUGAGAUAAUUUAAAAUUAAAUAGAGCAUGACAAUCCUUGUGUUGGGCCUAGUGGUGGAGGUUUGCGUUAAGAGUGUGUUAAGAGUGUGAUUCUCUCAAAGUCUUAAAUUGGUUUGGAUGUCUUAGUAAACCUGUUAGACAAAAUAAUUAUUGGAUCUCGGACUCUGAAACCAACGAUCAUAUCUGUGUUCAUUUUUGCCUUUAUUUAAUUCCUACUACAAAAUUAAACUUGCAUAGGUUAGUCUCCGUAAUGACAAUCUUAUUCUUGUCAAAUAUGGUGGUAACAUCACUUUCUUACCGAGUAUGAUUGAUUUUUUAAUUAACAAGAAAAUCACAAAGUAAAAGAAAAUUGUGAUAUAAACACUGAAUUCUUAAUUCAAUUACAUAUUAUAGAAUAAUAUUUACAAUUGAAUCUCAAUCACACCACUUUCUCCUUUUGAUUAGAAUUAUCCGGGAUUAUGGAAGAAGUGAUGACUAGUAUCCCCAUAUCUUUAUUCUCUCAUGAAGAUCUACAAUAUACUAUGUUCUCUCUUUGUAGUUUGCCCAUAUCUUUGACGGAAAAUGUGUUGGAAGGCUUGUUGACGCAUUCAUUAACUUAGCAUUACAGUUUCUUGUAAAAAAAAUGUAUCAUCUACAUACACAAGUAUGUAUAAUAUUGUGUUGGACCUAGUGGUGGAGGUUUGAAUCCUUUCAAAAUCUUGAAUUCUGCUGGAUACAAUCAAUCUUUAUGUUGGAUCAGUCUAUAUAGAGAUUUGCUCUCUGCCUUUAAACGGCAUCCCUCUAAUGAAUAAAUAUCUAAGAUUUAAAAAUAGAAAACAUGACAUAAUAACACAAUAUCAAUAGUUUUAUUGAUUUUGUGUUCUAUAACAACUUAAUAAUUAACAUCAACAAGCUAAAUGCUGAAAAUAAAAGUGAAUAUUACUUUCUAUGUAUUACAACGUGAUUAGUUCUCAAGUAUAUAUUAAAUGUUGUAGCACAGAUUUAAUGAACUAAACAUAUAUAUUUUCUUAGUUCAAAUGAAAUAUAUUUUCUUAAAAUAAAUGUACAAGAAUAUAAGAAAUCAUCACAAUAUAAAAGAGAAACGAAGAUUAAUUUUGUCUAUAUGAUCUUAAAUUAUUGUAGUGGUAUGCCCUUAAUCAAAGAUUCCAUUAAUGAAUAAAUUAUAGCAAGUGAAAAUGAAAAAAAGACUGAUGGGGUGAGAGAGGCUCGAACUCUCGACCUCAGGAUAACUCUUAGCUAUGAGACCUACGCGCUAGCCAACUGCGCCACCACCCCAAUGAUGUUGGAAAAUUAACUAUACUUUAUAUACUUGGAUAAACAUUCCGAUCAUUAUAAGGAAAAUAAUAUUUAUAUUUGAAAUCAAGUCUAAUGAAAAUAGAAAAGUAACUAAUUUUUCAUAAGAAAAGUUAAUCGACGAUACGAUUCCAUCAAAAGUUCAAGAAUUUCUUCUUUCCCUUACGAUUUAUAAAAAGUAUUGUUUAUAUUCUUAAACAUUAACGCGAUAAAAAAAAGAUAGGAGUGCAUGCACAUCUUCUUUCCUACUUGUAAAUAUAGUCUCUCUCUUUUUUGCCAAUCUACAUAAUACAUGGUCUUUGUCCCUUACGCACCCCUACAAAAUCGAUUUUUUAAGAUGAGUGGUUUCACUCAAUAUAAACUCUUUUAGGUUUUAUCUUUAACCAACGUGGAACUUGAUUUUUUCCAAUACAUCCCCUCGUACCCAUCUUUUUUGAGCUUGGUGCAUGAACAUAAAUGAUAGGUGUCAUGAAAUAUCCUUACGUGGAUUUGGUUUUUUUAAUACAUCCUAUUAUCCCUAGCACUAUUGGUUUUUGUCACAUAUAUUAAUGAUGGGUGGCCAGAUUAUUGGCGCACAUAUAAACGGAGAGAUAUCUUGAUUGUUGGAUACGAGAUAAUUUAAAAUUAAAUAGAGCAUGACAAUUCUUGUGUUGGUCCUAGUGGUGGAGGUUUGGAUGUUGAGAGUGUGCUUAUCUAAAAGUCUUAAAUUUGAAUCCUGCUAGGUGUAAUCAAUCAUUGUGUUAGGCCAGUCUAUACGGAGCUUUGCUCUAGAUUUAAACGCGGCCCCGCUAGUGGACGGAUAUCAAGAUUUAAAAACACACGAUGAGCUUCAAUUUUAGACUUUGUUUUGAGAGUAAGGACGUAGCCUAGGGUAACAUAGAGUCCCACAGACACGAAGGUUGUGAUAGUUGGGUUUGGAUCCAAAGAGAUGUUCAUAAGGACAUUUAUUAUUACAUUGAGGAGUGUGCAUGUGAUUUAUGAGAUACACUUCCAUUUGAAAAGUAUAACACCCAAAUUUUUGUGGAACAAAAGAGUGAGAAAAGAGAGUAAGAGCAGUCUCUACAAUAUAGUGAUGCAUGAGUUUUGCAAUGCCAAUAUGUUCAGGUGUAUAAGGUCGUUAAAAAAAUAGGAAACUCCAUGAUAAUUAAGUUAAUAUUUUAGUUUGAAAUAUUUAGUGCCCCCAUCAGUAUAUAUGGACUUGACUUUGCGGGUGAAAAAGUUUUCAAUUUUAAAGAGAUAUUGAUGAAAUAUGAUAGCUACAUAUGUUUUACUUUUUAAUGGAUAAAUCCAUGUGUAGCGUGUGAGAUGAUCCACAAAUAUAAAAUAAUAUUUGUAACCAUUUAUGGACAAUAUAGGAGAUGGUCCCCAAACAUUAAAAAAAAA
rnacentral:lncRNA from 1 species